rnacentral:rRNA from 1 species
UGAAGUUCAGGUAACACUGAAUGGAGGACCGAACCGACUUACGUUGAAAAGUGAGCGGAUGAACUGAGGGUAGCGGAGAAAUUCCAAUCGAACCUGGAGAUAGCUGGUUCUCUCCGAAAUAGCUUUAGGGCUAGCCUCAAGUGAUGAUUAUUGGAGGUAGAGCACUGUUUGGACGAGGGGCCCCUCUCGGGUUACCGAAUUCAGACAAACUCCGAAUGCCAAUUAAUUUAACUUGGGAGUCAGAACAUGGGUGAUAAGGUCCGUGUUCGAAAGGGAAACAGCCCAGACCACCAGCUAAGGUCCCAAAAUAUAUGUUAAGUGGAAAAGGAUGUGGCGUUGCCCAGACAACUAGGAUGUUGGCUUAGAAGCAGCCAUCAUUUAAAGAGUGCGUAAUAGCUCACUAGUCGAGUGACACUGCGCCGAAAAUGUACCGGGGCUAAACAUAUUACCGAAGCUGUGGAUUGUCCUUUGGACAAUGGUAGGAGAGCGUUCUAAGGGCGUUGAAGCAUGAUCGUAAGGACAUGUGGAGCGCUUAGAAGUGAGAAUGCCGGUGUGAGUAGCGAAAGACGGGUGAGAAUCCCGUCCACCGAUUGACUAAGGUUUCCAGAGGAAGGCUCGUCCGCUCUGGGUUAGUCGGGUCCUAAGCUGAGGCCGACAGGCGUAGGCGAUGGAUAACAGGUUGAUAUUCCUGUACCACCUAUA